rnacentral:lncRNA from 10 species
GGCCAGAUAAGAGAAUAAAAGCAGGCUGCCCGAGCCAGCAUUGACAACUCGCGGGGAUUGUUUUCCACACCGUGGAAGCUUUGUUCUUUUCGUUUUUUGCAAUAAAUCUUGUUGCUGCUCGCUUUUUGGGUCCACAUUGCUUUUAUGAGCUGUACCACUCACCGUGAAGAUCUGCAGCUUCACUUCAGAGCCUAGCGAGACCACAAGCUCACUGAGAGGAACAAACAACUCCAGACGCGCUGUCUUAAGAGCUAUAACACUCACCGCGAAGGUGUGCAGUUUCACUCCUGAGCUAGUGAGACUACGAAGCCACUGGAACGAAGAAACUCCAACCACGUUUGAACAUCAGAAGGGGCAGACUCCAGACGCUUCAUCUUAAGAGCUGUAACACUCACUGUGAAGGUCUGCAGCUUCACUCCUGAGCCAGCGAGACCACGAACCGAUCUGAACAUCAGAAGGGACAGACUCCAGAUGCCCCACCUUAAGAGCUGUAAUACUCACUGCAAGGGUCUGCAGCUUCAUUCUUGAAGUCAGACCAAGAACCCAGCAAUUCCCAACACACAGGGACCAGCUUCUUUCCUAACUCACUUAGGCUCUUCGUGCUGCUCUGGCAACUAACACCCUUGGCUGCAGGGGCUUGGACACUACCCUUAGUCACUGACAAUUGUGUGAAGGCUGCUGUCGUUAACUUCACUUGAUCACCUUAGGCUCCUGUGAAGUGGUGAGCAAUUCAAACAAAUUCCUGUCGUCAAAUCAUAUGGAGAAAUUGCACUGCAGAGAAAUCUUUAAAAGCAAUUACCUAAUACUGCAGAUUGCUGAACUGUACCCACACCCAAGACUGAGCAUUGGAUCAAUCCAGAAUAUACAUCAGGUGUUCUGCAAUGUCUGCCUAAAACCAUGACUCUGCCUCCUCCAGCUGUUGCUACAUCUCACUAUGGGUUUCCUGUGACAUUUUGAGCAAGUAUGCCUCUGUGACUGGGGUUCUUACACUCCAGAAUGGAUGAGAAGCACCGUAAGUGGCUUUUAAAAUGAAUAUUCCCUGGCCCUUCAGUCGCUCUAUAGGUCAAGAAUCUGAAUUCUCAACCUGUCUAGAAGGUUCUGGUUUUAAUGGUCUGUGGGCUGCACAUUGAGAAACCUGUUCAGCGAGUGCAACAAAGGUUCCACAUGUGAGAAAGGAAGCAUCAGGUCUCUUGAGCCUGUUCUUUAAUCUGUAGGCUGCACCUUCUCUUUAAAUUCUGCUAAUAACACCAUGCGAGAAAACACCCGAGCUUGAAAAGCCCAUGUUCCAACAUAACUGUCCUUCACCACUCUGGAAAAUUAAUGGUUUGUUUCGAUUAUCCCUUUGUUAAACUCCAAAGUCAAAGAGCUCUGAAAGGCAUACGGUUAUUUUAAGUUUCAGGUGAUUUCUGUUGCCAAAUAUUUUAAAAAUUUAAAAUUGCUACGUGACCUCUUAGUAGUACUAUUAGAUUUCCUGACAAUAAAAAUAAGUCUUUUGGUUUCACCAUUUAUAGUUAGUACAGCUAAUAUUAAGUAUAAUUUUAAAAGCCUUUUAUUUUCUCAGAAAGAAAAAAUAAUCAAAAUCUGCUCAGUGUGGUAUUGAAUAAUUAAAAACAAAAGAACAGUAUCUUCACAUUAGUGUUUAAUAUUAAUUGCUUUUUUACCCUUGACACUGGUGCUAAUUAAAUUUUCAUUUUAUUUUCCAUGACUUGUUUAAACAGUUUUUGCAAAUUAUUGCUAAUCAGCCUAAUAAAACUGAAUCACCUAUUAAACAAUUUUGUUUUGAAUUAAAUGGCAUUAAAAUAAUUCUGGCUGCCUUGUGUUAUAAUGUGUUACAAGAAUACCAACCGCUACAGGUAAUAUGCCUUAGCUUUUACACAUGCUUUAAAUAAAUCUACGGAUGUAUUUACCUACAUGCACAAACAUGCAAAGAGGCAGUGUUGGUUAGUUGAAUGGGUUUCCGGCUGGAUUUAUUUCCCGUCUACUGUCUUCUCAAGAGGAAAUCUAAGGCAAAUCUCUUCAACAACCUGAAACUUGGUUUUCAUCAUCAGCAAAAUAAGG